CAUUGGUGCAUGUGACAAUAAACUGAACUUUGAACUUUGAACUGUAAGCAAAAAACUGUGAUCUCAUCAGCAGAAUUUAUACAUAAAAUUUCUGAGAUUAGUGUUGUUUUGUGUUGUAAACGUAUCUGAGCCGAUUAUCUCCUGCUGCGUUGUUCAUGUAUGAAAGGCUACCUCCAGACAAUGUCCAGACCCAAGUGUGUGGACAUCCUCAAAGGUUCAUGUCUGAAAUUGGCUUAAAAAAAAGAAACACUGAUACUGAACAACCAGCCCAUCAAGUACCUGAGAGUGAACUGAGCAGAACUGGUGCUGGUGUAAAGAAAGAAGGGGGAUAACAGUAAACACUGAUUGGAUUCCGGUUAACUGCACUUGGAAAUUAAGAACACUCAGAGACGUCAGAACAUAUGUGAGAUGCUACAUGAACUGUGAUGAAUAAUUGCUCCUGGACUUCCUCCAUCACCACCAGGGGCGGCUGUGGCUGAGGGGUAGAGUGGUCGUCCUCCAACUUGAAGGUCGGCAGUUUGAUCCCAGGCAGUUCCGGGUCUUCCUUCUCCCGUAUCGGCCCCAAUUGUAGGGCAUGCGAGUGUUUUCCUCCUCUGCCGGUUGCAGCGGGGAGCGAUCAGCUGAUCGAUCGAGUUGCACGUAAUUGUGCUGCUCGAUGCAAGCGAUCCCCUUCCUCCCCUUUGAUGUUCAUUCAACUCCUGACGGUAUGUGGAUAAGAUGACGUUAACUCAAGUUACCACAGUUGUUGUUCAGCUUCUAGAACAAAUGUAUUUUUCUAUGGCAGGGUUGACGUGUGUGUGGGCGGUUUCUGCCAGCACGUUUUUCCCCCCCUCUUCACGCUGCUGUUGGCCGGCUGCUGUUUUGCCCACUGGCUUAUAUAGCCAACACAUCCAUCCUACUCUGCAUCUCCUACUGUGCUGUACCUACCAUCGAGUAUGGUGACUGCUGCCUCAUCUUCAGUCUCAUCUUAAUCUAUUCAGUUAACCGACUUCUAACUGAUCUUAUUGAUGAUAUUAUUUGUGUUUUGUGGUUUGCUUUGCAUGUUUUUGGUUUAAUCCGUUUUCUUAGUUAUUUUGGUUUGGCUUAAUUGCUUUACCUAUUUAUUUGGAUUUAUCAGUUUGGAUAAAUCUCCAUUACUUUUGAUUUAAUUUCUUUGUUAGUUUUCUUUUGUUUGCAUUUAUUGAGUUUAUUUGCCCUCCCUUAUUUGUAUUUUGUGUGUGUGUGUGUGUGUGUUCGCUUUAGUGUGGUUGGGUGAACAUAUUUUAUUGCGAAGUCAUGUUUAAAGACUGUAUAUAUUAAUUAAAAGGAAUUGAAAUUGUAUGUUGGACCCAGUCUCAAGCUUUCAUUAGUAAGGAACUUGUGUGCUUUAACUUUAAGGUUAAUCUAACUCUCCAGGUGAAAUUACUGGGGUGGCGUUGCUGGCAAUUUGUCACUAGUUCAAACUAAAACUUCAUCUUAUUAGUUCCUCGAACGUCGAAUGCCACAUUUGGCGUUGUUGGCAGGAUAUUUACUUUUGGAAAGCAGAGACGUGUGGUCCAGUUCCUUUAUAUAAUUUGUUUUGUUUAUUUUAAUAGUCCCCAGGGUACAUAUUUGAUGUAGAGGUUUUGAAUUGUGUUCAGAGGCAAAACAGCAGCUUGGCCUUUCGUGGUCCGCAGAGUCCCGGUGAGGAUCCAGUUGUGGGGUUGUUGUGUUCUAGUCUAACUGUAGUGUUAGUUAUGGAUGUAGAGCUGCAGGAGUUGAGGGAGCUGGUGGCGCAGUUAAAGGUGGACAAUGAGAGGUUGCGGCAGGAGCAGGCUGUGGCCGUGCCUGGUCCUACUUCGGAAUCCUCCACUUCUUCUGUGCCACCUGUGGCCCCUGUUACUACUAGGAACCCCAUAGCAGAGAGGCUGGUUUUUGU